GAUAGUCUUUUUGGUUCCAUAACCUCCAUGGUUAUGCAGCUCCUGUGGGAUGAUUCAACCCGUUAUACGCAUGUUUUUAUUUUAUUUUAAUAAUAAUUGUUUUCCCCUGACUUCAAAGAAAACACGCUGCCUCCUCUGAGUCGUCGCCUCCUCACGAGUCAUGACAGUCCACCACCACCGGGUCUCCACCUACUACCACCACCAGGCCCCGACCCGCGACCUGCGUAAAGAAUUUGGGUCGUCCUCUUCUGCCGAAACAAAUGCAUUUUCUGAAGACAUAUUCGCAAGAGUGCCCCGUAAAGAAUCUGGUUUGAAUCUAUAUCAGAAACAAGAGAGGAAAGCUGUGAUGAUGGUGAAGAAGCAGAAGACAUAUUCUCUCUUGGAUGACGAUGAUGGCAAUAGAUCUUCUGCCCAGGUUGUUUCUGAGUCCAGGAAAGCUGAUUUCAUAAGAAACGAUUCAGGAAGAAGGUCUUGACUUUUGAGUCAAGAAGAUGAAGAUGAUGAGGUGAUUGCACAAGAGGAAGAAGAGAGAUGAGUUAAAAGACAAAUCUCCCCACACGACGAUGAUGGUUCAGAGGUUUCUUUUAUUGAUAUCAUGCAAAGAUAAAACACGCUGCCUCCUCUGAGUCGUCGCCUCCUUCUCAAGAGUCAUGACAGUCCACCACCACCAGGUCUCCACCUACUACCACGACCAGGCCCCGACCCGCGACCCGCAUAAAGAAUUUGGGUGGUCCUCUUCUGCCGAAACAAGUGCAUUUUCUGAAGACAUAUUCGCAAGAGUGCCCCGUAAAGAAUCUGGUUUGAAUCUAUAUCAGAAACAAGAGAGGAUAGCUGUGAUGUCGUUGAAGAAGCAGAAGACAUAUUCUCUCUUGGAUGACGAUGAUGGCAAUAGAUCUUCUGCCCAGGUUGUUUCUGAGUCCAAGAAAGCUGAUUCCAUAAGAAACGAUUCAUGAAGAAGGUCUUGACUUUUGAGUCAAGAAGAUGAAGAUGAUGAGUUUAGUUCUUUUAACUUUUGAAAGUCAGAAGUAGAAAGAUUGCGUGAUCAAAGAGAGGGAGCAAUUGGAGCAGAAUAUAAGGGAACGGGAUACAACAGCUACACUAAAGUUAGCACGAAAGGAAGAAGGUA